AAAAGCAAAAAAAUUACAUAAUAAAUAAGGAAGUUAUGCCGAUAAGUAAUGUAUAUACAGAUGUUUCAACUUAUGUACAUAGGACAGGCCAAGCCGCAAGGCAUUAUUGCAGUCGUGAUGAAUCUUCGAACAUCCACCACCACCCAGAAAAUAACUUAAAGUGGGGGGUAGUGUAAAGGAAAAACAAAUAUUAAGAAAGCAAGCACCCAUGGAGAAUAGAGACUCG
rnacentral:misc_RNA from 1 species